UCGAGAAUCUUCCGCAAUGGACGCAAGUCUGACGGAGCGACGCCGCGUGAAGGAUGAAGGCCCUCGGGUUGUAAACUUCUGUCACUCGUGAAGAACGUCCAAGGUAAGCCCUGGGACUGACGUUAGCGAGAGAGGAAGCCACGGCUAACUUCGUGCCAGCAGCCGCGGUAAUACGAAGGUGGCAACCGUUGCUCGGAUUCACUGGGCAUAAAGCGCGCGUAGGUGGUUUGGCAAGUCAAUGGUGAAAGACCCCGGCCCAACCGGGGAAGUGCCGUUGAAACUUCCUUACUUGAGGACAGGAGGGGAGAGUGGAACUCUUGGUGUAGCGGUGAAAUGCGUAGAUAUCAAGAGGAACGCCGGUGGCGAAAGCGACUCUCUGGACUGUUCCUGACACUGAGGUGCGAAAGCUAGGGGAGCAAACAGGAUUAGAUACCCCCGUAGUCC
rnacentral:rRNA from 1 species